GACGAACGCUGGCGGCGUGCUUAACACAUGCAAGUCGAACGGAAAGGCCCUGCUUUUGUGGGGUGCUCGAGUGGCGAACGGGUGAGUAACACGUGAGUAACCUGCCCUUGACUUUGGGAUAACUUCAGGAAACUGGGGCUAAUACCGGAUAGGAGCUCCUGCUGCAUGGUGGGGGUUGGAAAGUUUCGGCGGUUGGGGAUGGACUCGCGGCUUAGCAGCUUGUUGGUGGGGUAGUGGCUUACCAAGGCUUUGACGGGUAGCCGGCCUGGGAGGGUGACCGGCCACAUGGGGACUGAGAUACGGCCCAGACUCCUACGGGAGGCAGCAGUGGGGAAUAUUGCACAAUGGGCGGACGCCUGAUGCAGCAACGCCGCGUGCGGGAUGACGGCCUACGGGUUGUAAACCGCUUUCGCCUGUGACGAAGCGUGAGUGACGGUAAUGGGUAAAGAAGCACCGGCUAACUACGUG
rnacentral:rRNA from 1 species